ACGGGGAGCACCAAGCACUGUGGUCACGGGAGGAGAGACAGUGACCCUCCUGUGCCAGGCGUGAUCUCAUUGUAAUAAUCAAAAAUUCACAUUCUCUCUGCUGAAGGCUGGGGUGCCCCAUCCCGUACAGCGCCAGAGCCCAGAAGGAGAUGAGGCCAACUUCACUCUCCCAUCUGUGAAGGCUGAGGAUGCUGGGAGCUACAGCUGCAUUGACUCAGUGGAAGGGAGAGCAUCAUCUCCCAGUGACGCCCUGCACUUGGAGGUGACAGGUGGAAAGGACGAACAUCCCCCCAAGCCAGGUAAGAGGGGAAGCAGAGGUGCAAGAUAAGGGAGGCUGAGCCUCCUCAUCACCCUGCUUCCAGGCAGCCCUCGUCCAGCCUGGUGGAGGGGUGUGAUGAUGGGUGGCAGAACCAGAGGAAGAUGGUUGGAGGAAAAACAAAGGGCCAUACAUAGCCAUGACCCGACAGGUAUCCAGAAGAGUGUGGGAGAGCUCACACAGGGCCAUCCUCUCCCCUUUGGCAAAGUCCCAAGAGAGGCUGAACACUCACCGGGAGGCCAGGCCAGGAUGGAGGCCCUCUGGGGUCCCUCCCACUCAUCUCCUGGCCAGGACACCAGGCUGGGGAGAGAGCCUGACUCAUGGCGGGCCAUUGGGGGCGUCCUGGGAAAGGCUGAGUCACUCAUAGAGGCUCUUCUCAUCCUCAGCUCAAGAUUACACUGUGGGCAACAUCGUCCGCAUCACUCUGGCAGGGCUCAUUCUCAUCAUCCUGGGCAUUAUCCUGGCCGAGGCCUGGCACAGCCAAUGGGGGUCCUGAGAAGCAGCCCAGGACCUCCCUGCCCAGGACAUGGGCCAGCCAGGAAAGCAGAGUCGGGGUCUGAGGACUGGGUGGUUUGUUGUGGGGAGAGAUGGGGGGGGGGGACCAGGGGAGCUGUAAAGAGUUUAUCCAAGCCAGUUUGGUGUUAUUCUGUACCUGAGCUUAACAUCAAAGCAUUGCCUGGUGAUCUGUCUGUUGCUGGAUCUCCUCACUGUGAUAAGAGCCUCUAAAUACCUUCAGAGGUUGCUCUAGGGCUAAGUAGCUUAUCCAUGUUCAUUCACAUUUUCUCAGCCAUUGUGGCCAGUCCUGUGUUCAGGUCACAACCAUAUGUAGAAUGAUGGAGGCUCUUGUUAUGGGGUUGUAAUGUAAUGGGGUUGCACAAGUUGUCCUGGGAAAAUGUUGGUAUCUAACUAGAUCUUUACUGUAACACUAAAAUAGUGGUUUAAAAGGGGCGGGGCUGGGGGGUGGUGGCAACUGGGUAUCUCAGUGGAUUGAGAGCCAAUCCAAGAGACGGGAGGUCCUGGAUGCAAAUCUGGCCUCAGACACUUCCCAAAUGUGUGACCUUGGGCAAGUCACUUCACCCCCAUUGCCUAGUCCUUCCCACUCUUCUGCCUUAGAACCAAUGUACAGUAUUGAUUCUAAGACAGAAGGUGAGGGUUUAAAAAACAAUGGAAGUGGUGUGGAAAUGUGUUUUUCCCCUAAUAGCAGUACCAAGAGAUGGUUAGAUAAAGAAUGAGAGUGACCCCAAAAAUGUGGGAAAAUGAGUUAAUAUUUAUUCCAAUUCACCCCCUGAGAUCCCAUUGGCAUCAAGAGAGACUGAAAUUCAUUUUUAACUUUCAUGACAUCAUAAAUAUCUAUGAAUAUCAUAUGUAAUUGUUGGAAGCAUUUUGGAAAGAGCAGCUUAAAACUUCCUCUGUUGUCUUGACAUUUACCACCAGAACGUGAAAGCUGUGUUGAUGAAGAGAACACAAAGAAUUACAUCCUCCUUGUCUUGUCCUUUGAUCCAGCAAUACCACUACGGAGUUUGUAUCCCAAAGAGAGUAUAUUAAAUGGGAAAGGUCCUGUUGGUACACAAA